UGUAAUAAUUGAUAGGACAGGUGGUGUCUCUUAUCUUUCAUAGGUGACAAAAUUCUGAUUCAGAAACUGGACAAGAACACUUCAUUUUGCUUUUUAGAAACUUUGCUUCCUGGUUAGCAACGCAGGACACUUGCCAGCUGAAUACUUGUGGAUCUUGGAAGGAAUCCACAACUCUGAAAAGGUGACGCCCAUCUUACCAGUCUCCCAAGGCAUUAGUAAUGGGUGACGCUCAUGUGUGGCACAGUAGUGAAAUAUAUAGAAGUAAUCAGCAUGUUCAGUUUAGAUGACUCAACUUACUGCAAACAACAAAUUACUAAGGCAGGUUUGUUAGAGACUUUCAUCUAUAUUCUAGAGAUACCUAAUCUGUACUGUGCCUUCUUCUAAUGUGCUAGCCAGAAGAAUUAUAGCUUUUCUAUGCGUCUUAUAAAUUAUUCAAUACAUUGUUAGACACUUGUCAGAUUUACGAGAUCCAAAGAACGACAGGACUUCCUUGUACCGUACAAAGAGUUUCUGAUGGAAGCUUGACCACUACAUGGCAUCAUGGAUUGGACCAUUCACAGAUAAUUAAAGAUUUUCUCUUUAGAUCAUUCACAUCGGAAGAUUACCACUGUGAACGAAUGGGGUCGUGAAGAUAGAUUUUCCUCACAACAGAUAUUUCUCAUUCAAUGUUGUUCUUAUGGCUUCAGAACUCUUCCCUUGUGUGCUAUGAUGAAGAGGAGAGCAGAAGGUUCCAGUAAUCCGGUCCGGUUCCUGUUGCCUUGAUGCAGUAUAGUGAGCGAGUAUUGUUAUCCAAGAACAGAAAGUGUGUUACUGGCAGAAUCACCAGGUAAAAAUAAACAGAAAACAGGCUGAAAAAUGCAGCCAUCACAUCUUUUGACUAGUAAGCUGCAAUAUAUGAAAUUGUUUGGUGGUUUAAAUACCUUUAAUGUCAGUGUAGGAUAGACGCCACUGGGAGAACCCAACUUCACUGCAGAUGGGACACUUCAGGGGUCAGGAUUUUAGUGCAGAGCUGGUUUUAAAAGAAAAUUAUUUUAAAAUAAUGUUAUUUGAGAUUGGCAGCUAUACUGAACCAGUUUGUCAAGGCUACUAUGUGUUCCAGUGGAAUUGUUUUGAAAAGACAUUUGGGUUAAUUUACUAAUUGAGAAGAGGUUGGUCAAUAAGCAAAGUGAAUGUUCAAUAUGUAAGUUAACAUUCACUGAGCUUAGCCAAAAGGGUGAAGCUGUGUCCUCUUUACAAUUCAAUCAUGUGCAAGAGAAAUCCACGUAUGAUCCUUUUAAGGCUGUAAACCAGUCUUUUAACUUGAUGUUUCUUCAGGGGUGCCUUGGCAAAAUGCCCAAAAAUUGCCCAAACAUUAUUUACAAGCUGGUGUGUCGAUGAAGCCUGCCUUUGGCCGCGUUCACACGGCCGAGAAACUUGACAGGCAAAACACAUCGUUUUGCUCGUCGAGUUCCUUGUGAAGCCGCCGAGGAUCUC